rnacentral:misc_RNA from 1 species
GGUUGAUAGUGUGCAGGACAAGUCUCCCGUAGGUUCCAGUCAAAACACAGUUCUUCUUGAUUCAGGAUCUCCUGUGAACUUUCAGCAGGAAAGAUCUAAAUCCUUAACUGCAGAUGAACCUGGUAAAAUUGAUAGGCAGAUGAAGGAUGCUAAAACCAAUGCUGAACCUGAUUUAGACCAGAAGCAGCUUCCAGAACAUAGAACUGUUAAUCCAGGCGAGAAGCAGCUUCCGGAACGUAAAACUGUUAAGUCAUCCAUGAAAGAACAAGAGCAACUUGAAGAGGCUCAGGGAUUGCUUAAGAAUGCAACUUCUACCGGUCAGUCCAAAGAAGCACGGUUAGCCCGUGUUUGUGCUGGACUUUCAUCACGUCUUCAGGAGUAUAAAUCUGAAAAUGCUCAGCUAGAGGAGCUUCUUGUAGCUGAGAGGGAAUUGAGUAAAUCUUGCGAGGCUCGGAUAAAGCAGCUUCAGAAAGAUUUAU